UGCAGAUCCUACUACUAUCUUGGACCUAAUGAACUGAAAUUAAUAUCUCUUUUCUCUGGUUUAGGUUCAGAUCACCUACACCCGCAAGAACGGUAUGAAGUGUCUCCGUGUCAUGUGCAAGAGCCACAAGUUCACCAAGGACAGGAAGGUGAUGGAAGAGAACAUCAACGUGGCAGUUGUUGGAUUAGCCACGAUGCAGAAGACAGCUGAGAUGACAAA